CCUAAGGGUGAAAAGAGAUUUGCCUGAAGAUGAGCUCGCGUCAGAUUAGCUAGUUGGUGGGGUAAGGGCCUACCAAGGCGACGAUCUGUAGCUGGUCUGAGAGGAUGAUCAGCCACACUGGGACUGAGACACGGCCCAGACUCCUACGGGAGGCAGCAGUGGGGAAUUUUCCGCAAUGGGCGAAAGCCUGACGGAGCAAGACCGCGUGAGGGAUGACGGCCUAAUGGUUGUAAACCUCUUUUCUCUAGGAAGAUGAUGACGGUACUAGAGGAAUCAGCCUCGGCUAACUCCGUGCCAGCAGCCGCGGUAAUACGGAGGAGGCAAGCGUUAUCCGGAAUUAUUGGGCGUAAAGCGUCCGUAGGUGGUUGAACAAGUCAGUUGUUAAAGAGUGGGGCUUAACCCUAUAGAGGCGAUUGAAACUGUUUAACUAGAGUUAGGUAGGGGUUACGGGAAUUCCCAGUGUAGCGGUGAAAUGCGUAGAUAUUGGGAAGAACACCGGUGGCGAAAGCGCGUG
rnacentral:rRNA from 1 species